AGGAAGCUCCCCGCAGGGAGCCUGAUGUGAGACUCGAUCCCCAGACCCAGGACCACACCUUGAGCUGAAGGCAGAUGCUCAUCCACUGAGCUACCAAGGCGUCCCCAAAGAAAGAUUUUUAAUAUGACAGUGAAUCAACUAACCUUUCUUGGUAGAAUCAUGAGAGGCACAUGGACAUUCUGAAUAAAGUCUAUUUCUCAACCUUGUAUCCAGAUGUGCUCAUGUGGAAUAUUAUAUGGAUGAAGGAAGAAAGAGCUUUAAAUCCCACUGUUGUCACGACUACCACCAUCAUUUUUACUACCUGCUCCUAUCACCACCCUGGUCACCAGUAUGCAUGUUAACAGUUCAAAGUGCUUAGCUUUGCAAUAGACUACUAACAGUCAAAUUAAGUAUAUGAGUUCCCUGUAUAACACAAACAUACCCACAAUACAAAAAUCAUAUAAUUACCAUUUCUCCCUAAAGCAUUGGAGUUGGACUCGACUACACUAAAAGCAGAAAUCUCAGAAAUAGUAUCCACUUACAUUUGAGUCUCCCAUAAAAUAAAGACAGGAUGUUGAGAAAUGUGAUUUGAGAGUGUCAAAGAGUGAUUUGUGAGUCAAUGAGUUCCUUCCUCUAUUUGCAAAUAUCAGUUAGAAAAUAGGAUAUAUAGCAUUUAGUGUAUUUUUGGAUGUCAUGAUUUGGAAGUAUUUUGUAGUUCUUUUUCUGGAAAUGAUUCAGUUCAACCCUACUGAGAAGUUUCCUUCAUUAAGCCAGUGAUAUCAUAGCAUAGAUUGCCAGAUGGGAAAAACUGUUAAGCAUUUUCUUUCAAAUUAUAGACAUGAGCUUUUGAAGAUAUUUUUUCCCAGCAUACUAUAAAACAUUAAUUAGUUAUUAGUGAAAUUUCUCUAUUUAUAAAAUGCAAAAUCUGGUGUUCUAAGAAAAAACUUAGGAAACUGAAAAUACAUUUAAAUUGUAUUCACAACCAAGAUUAAAAUGCUGUGAUCUAAAAUAUUACACUGCCGGUAUUGAUUAGGACAUUAUGGAAG